AUAUCUUUUCGUCGUCGCUGCAAAUUCAGCGACCGGGCGUAGGAACCCGAAUU
rnacentral:ncRNA from 1 species